AGUGAACGCUGGCGGUAGGCCUAACACAUGCAAGUCGAACGGCAGCACAGUAAGAGCUUGCUCUUACGGGUGGCGAGUGGCGGACGGGUGAGGAAUACAUCGGAAUCUACUUUGUCGUGGGGGAUAACGGAGGGAAACUUACGCUAAUACCGCAUACGACCUACGGGUGAAAGCAGGGGAUCUUCGGACCUUGCGCGAUUGAAUGAGCCGAUGUCGGAUUAGCUAGUUGGCGGGGUAAAGGCCCGCCAAGGCGACGAUCCGUAGCUGGUCUGAGAGGAUGAUCAGCCACACUGGAACUGAGACACGGUCCAGACUCCUACGGGAGGCAGCAGUGGGGAAUAUUGGACAAUGGGCGCAAGCCUGAUCCAGCCAUACCGCGUGGGUGAUGAAGGCCUUCGGGUUGUAAAGCCCUUUUGUUGGGAAAGAAAAGCAGCAGGUUAAUACCCCGCUGUUCUGACGGUACCCAAAGAAUAAGCACCGGCUAACUUCGUG
rnacentral:rRNA from 1 species